ACACACACACACAACUCGGCACCUUCUCCUGACGCCUCUGCUCGUUGUCCUGUGAAACCACAGUAAUCUGAGAGGUGAAACCCUCAGCUGAGGCUCAGAGAUCCGCGCGACGCUGGAGCCACUUCUGCUGUGACGCACAUUUUAAACUUCAAAUUCCUCUCCCUGGUCACUGCUCACUAAAACUGUGUCCCCUGGAGGAAUGGGUGUGAAGGUACUCCUGUGCUUUCCCUUCUACAGACGCUGCAAAGAGCGAUGCAAGGACAGAGAGUGUCCUCCUGAAACAGAACCUGCGAUACCGAAAGCGGAGCCAAAGCCACGUCCCUGCUCAACAACAUCGACAGUCAGUGAAUGCGACAGUGGGAGCAACCUGGGUAGUCCUCAAGCAUAUUUUUCCCAGAAGGCUCGGCUCUCCUUUAGACACCAAAUGGAUAGCAACUUCAAUGCAAUAGAUGCCACAUACUAACUCCUGUCAGCUGCCAAGGUUUUGAAAAUGAACUCUGACCCCUGCUGAGAGAGAGCUAGGUGAUAUCAUGGACGGCAUAAACUGGACUUGCAAGAUGGUGUCUUCAUGCCACUCAGGAUGUCCUGAAUUCUGUUCAUUAUAGUCAUCUUAUGCUCUUAUGAAUGGAAUGGUUACACUGAAGAAGCAAGUGCAUUUAGAAAAAAUGUUUACAAGAUUACGAAAAAGUGCUUUCUGUGUUCUUUCUGUGCCCCAUCAUUUUCUGGUAUGGCUCCUUUCAAACUGUGAUACUCAGAGGGCAACAGAUGUCUACUUACGUCUGUGCAAAUGGAUAUUUGUAUAACAGAUAACACUCUUAUUUCUCAUCUUACUUAAGACAGUCUGUUCUUAUUUCUUGCUGAACAAAAUCUGAAAUUUGUACCUGCAAAAGCCUUUGUUACCUUUUCUUUUUAAGGGUAAUGUUUAUUUCUUUAUUUCUAUUUCAGAUGGAAAAGUGUCCUUUUCCAUCUCUUUCCUCCACUGACAUAAAGCUCAGACUAGUUAAUAUGCAGACACGAGCAAAGCAGGUGUGAAUGUGUUAAACACUAAGCAGGUGUUCAACACAGGAGUUCAAACUCAAUAUUCAGUAGAGCAAACAGAUAAAAGUUUGUUUUACAGUAGUGAUAUUGUUAGUGAUUGUUAGAGCACCUACCCAGGACAUGUGGUCUAUCAUUAUAACACUAUAUUUACUUUAUAUGUCUUUUGUAUUAAAAUGGUUGUACAGUGUUUGUAGUUUUGUAAAUAUGACUCAAUAUGCCAUUAAAAUUCAAAAUUUUCAUGUAAUUUUUAAAAUAAAAAAAUAAUCAAGCUCAUUUCACAUUUAUAAAAUUAAACAAGACACUAAUGUAAACAUUUUUUCUCUUUUAGUUUUGUGAUCUAUUUGACAAAUGUGAAAAUAUUAAAAUCAUUUAACAAAAACA